rnacentral:misc_RNA from 1 species
GGAAGUAAAAGUCUAACAAGGUUUCCGUAGGUGAACCUGCGGAAGGAUCAUUACUGAGUGAGGGCCCCUCGGGGUCCAACCUCCCACCCGUGUUUAACGAACCUUGUUGCUUCGGCGGGCCCGCCUCACGGCCGCCGGGGGGCAUCUGCCCCCGGGCCCGCGCCCGCCGAAGCCACCUGUGAACGCUGUCUGAAGUAUGCAGUCUGAGACAAUUAUUAAAUUAAUUAAAACUUUCAACAACGGAUCUCUUGGUUCCG